CGAACGGCAGCACGGGGGCAACCCUGGUGGCGAGUGGCGAACGGGUGAGUAAUACAUCGGAACGUGUCCUUUCGUGGGGGAUAACCAGUCGAAAGACUGGCUAAUACCGCAUGAGAUCUCACGAUGAAAGCGAGGGACCGCAAGGCCUCGCGCGAUUGGAGCGGCCGAUGUCGGAUUAGCUAGUUGGCGGGGUAAAAGCCCACCAAGGCGACGAUCCGUAGCUGGUUUGAGAGAACGACCAGCCACACUGGGACUGAGACACGGCCCAGACUCCUACGGGAGGCAGCAGUGGGGAAUUUUGGACAAUGGGCGCAAGCCUGAUCCAGCCAUGCCGCGUGUGUGAAGAAGGCCUUUGGGUUGUAAAGCACUUUCGGCCGGAACGAAAUCGCCUCCGUUAAUAGCGGGGGUGGAUGACGGUACCGGAAGAAGAAGCACCGGCUAACUACGUGCCAGCAGCCGCGGUAAUACGUAGGGUGCGAGCGUUAAUCGGAAUUACUGGGCGUAAAGGGUGCGCAGGCGGUUGCGCAAGCCAGGCGUGAAAUCCCCGGGCUUAACCCGGGAAUGGCGCUUGAAACUACGUGACUGGAGUAUGGCAGAGGGAGGUGGAAUUCCACGUGUAGCGGUGAAAUGCGUAGAGAUGUGGAGGAACACCGAUGGCGAAGGCAGCCUCCUGGGCCAAUACUGACGCUCAUGCACGAAA
rnacentral:rRNA from 1 species